GAUGGGCACCGGGUCCCACAUAUAGUGCAUUAUAAGCACCAUUAUUUUCUGAAAACAAGAAGUGAAAAAUACGAGAGGAACACCAAGCCUUCCUAAGGCUAAAAGGAGGUCUCUUUUGAGCUUUGAGGUAUUAAUUCUUAUUAACCAAAAAUCCAUCUUUAUCUGGAUAUGUUCAUUCUUGUUUUUAUUUACUAAUGUUGGUGAUCUUUUUGUGUGUUUAUUAUGGAAAAAAGAGAAGUCGUAUGUGUUUGUUUUAAUCGAAAUCACGUUGUCUACAAUCUAUAAUUUUUUUAUAUUUUAUAUGCUUUUCGUUUCAUUUUAUUUGUUUUUUUAUAUUAAAAAUAUAUUUUUUUAUUUGUUCUCUUUAGUCAAACAGUAGAAGUUUAUUAUUUUCUUCCAAUAUUAUCCUUAUCGUUAAGUAACACUACUAAAAAGAAAAUGUUAUUCCACUAUAAUUCAAAAUUGGGUGAGAUAAGAUUUGAUCAUAUUUAGAAUUGAGUUUGAGAUUAGAUUUAUAUAGUGUUUAAUUAACAAUAUAAAUUUAUCUUAAUUCUGAGAUAUCAGACCUUAUUCCGCUUACCAAACAAUCCAAUAUCAAAUUAAACUUAGAUUUUCAUUUCAGUAAUUGACAAAAGCAUCUAUGUAAUAAUCAAUUCCCUAUUAAAGUAUAAAUAGGAAGUCCAAGUUACUACUACUUCUUUUAUCCCAACUCUUUUUGGCUUUCUAUUCCAAUUAGAAUAUGGUAAAUUCCAUAGCACAUAUGAACAAUGUGGCCUGGGGAGAAAUUUUAGAAACAAAUUUUCACUUCUUAUAUAUAAACCAAAAAGUUUUCUAAUUAUUCGAACAAAUCUACAUUUUAGAUGCAGGUGUUAUUACAACUACUUAUGUGAUGUAUCGCAAUGGAGGCAACCAAAAUCUAUCAAGCCAUUACUAGAAGAAUAUUAUCAAUUUGAUGAUGAUCUAGAUAAUUCAUAAGGCAAGUUGGAAGGAUUCAAACGAAUGCAUCUAUGAGGAGAAAGAUCGAUAAACGAUCUUAAGAUAAAUGUGUUUUUUGGUACGAAAACAAGCUCUCAAAGGUGAAUACCAAAGACUAUUUGCUUGGGAUAUGUUAAAUGAUUUAGCAUGAGUCGUGGCAAGUAUUUUCAGUUGAGGUUUGAACAUUUAACGUAUAAAGUUUAAACUCCAAUUCAAAAUACUUACCACGACUCGAGCUGAACAUCUAACCUAUGCUAAGUAAGUAAUUUUUGAAAUUCAUCUUUCAAAGCUUGUUUUUAUACCCGAAAACACCUUUAUCUUGAGAUCCUUUAUCGAUCUUUCUCCACAUAGAUGCACUCGUUUGUAUCCCUCCAAUAUGUAAGUCUUUUGUAACAAACUCCUAGUCUCAAUAUAUAAUUUUGUUGUUAGGAAAUUAAAUUUCAUAUAUAUAUAUAUAUAUAUAAGGUACAAUCAAUUAAUUCCAGCAAAACAUUAAUUUGAAUUGUCAAAUUCUAGUUUUCUCUUGGGGUUUCAAUCUGAUUGCUGAUCGAAUAUGACAAAUUCCAUGAGAAAAUUAAAUUUUGGAUAGGGAAGCUAAGUCUUAUAUGUCUAUGUAAAGCAAGAAUAAUAUUUCAUUUUUCAAUUAUAUAGAAGAGUCAUAGCAUAAAUGAAAAAUGACAUUUUUUGUAAAUUUUACUUUAUAUAAGGUAAAAUUAUAAUCAUGUAUGAUGUAUGAGAGGUUAAAAUGAAAUUCUAGAAAGAUCUAAUUUUCUUUUUCAAGCUCCCCCAGAAAAGAC
rnacentral:lncRNA from 1 species